AUGAACUCUUCUCCUCCCAUAUGGCUUAUUGGAUAGACUUGAAACUUUGUACAAUGCUUAAUUGUCAUUUGUAGAUGUGCAUAUUGUGGGAAUGGGAGGAUCCAAAGUUUUUCCUAAAAGAUAUAGUGGAUCUAAAAGGGGUGGAGGAUGUUAAAAUACCUUGUGAACACUUCUCCUAUAUGGCUUAUCUGAUAGACUUGAGAAUUUGUACAAUGCUUCAAUGCCAUUUGUAGAUGUGCAAGUUGUAGGGACAGGAGGAUCCAAUUGUUUUCCUAAGAGUUAUAGUGGAUCUAAGAGGGGUGGAAGAUGUAAAAUAGCUUAUGAACUCUUCUCCUCCCAUAUGGCUUAUUGGAUAGACUUGAAACUUUGUACAAUGCUUAAUUGUCAUUUGUAGAUGUGCAUAUUGUGGGAAUGGGAGGAUCCAAAGUUUUUCCUAAAAGAUAUAGUGGAUCUAAAAGGGGUGGAGGAUGUUAAAAUACCUUGUGAACACUUCUCCUAUAUGGCUUAUCUGAUAGACUUGAGAAUUUGUACAAUGCUUCAAUGCCAUUUGUAGAUGUGCAAGUUGUAGGGACAGGAGGAUCCAAUUGCUAUCCUUAAAGUUAAAGUGGAUCUGAGGGGUGUAGGGUAUAAAAUAGUUUGUGAACGCUUCUCCUCCUAUAUGGCUUAUCAGAGUUCAUGUCUAUCUUCCUGCCCAUGCUUUCUCCUCCAUACUAUUCAAUACAUUAAGGGGGAUGUUUCCUAUAUUUUACGAAUUAAUUGGUUGAUUGACAACAAACUUGGUACACUUGUACAGCAUAUAUAAGGAGUAGAUGACCCCUAUUGAUUCUUAGGUCACAUGGUCAGUCCACUCUUGACAUAGGAAGGUAUUGUCUGCUCAAUAUUUUGAAUUGGUGUAACUACUAUCAAUUAAAUGAGGCACGGGUAUAACCCUUUCAAUUUUGCAACUUGGGGGGCAUAUGUGUUUUAGAAACAUCUCUUGUGUUGUAUUAUAUGAAUUACAGUUUUUAGUGUGCUCAGUUUAGAGAAUAGCAUAAAAGUAUUUGAUAAUUAAAUAUCUUACAGAUUGGCAGUUUACUCCAUGCACCGAAAGGAAUGAUAAACUGUGAUAUUCGUAAAUGGAACUGGAACACGUUCUAAAUAUACUCAGGGACAGAAUGAUGUGCAGCAAGGCUCGUCAUGGAUUUUACCAAAUACAGAACACUGCAAGGCUUGCAAAAUGAAGACCUCAGUAAAAAAAAUUCUAAAUUAUCCACUAAUGGCAGCUCACUACCUGCCCCUUGUGAUGUUAAAAGAGGCCGUUGUUCUCAUUUGUUCCAAAACAGGAAUGGCAUAUGAGGAGGCCAACAGAAGAUGCACCUCCACUGACCUCCACUGAGUGUGCACUCACAAAACGAAUAAAUUAUUAUUAUUUCUUUUGUUUGUAAUUGUAUAUUGUCAACAAGGUCAAAGGCACUUGAUCCGAUGCCAAACUUUUGCAUUUCUUUUGCUUUGUGGUAAAUUUUCUUCAGCAACAUUAACAUUGUUUAAAUUGUUUUCUUUGGAGAGUUUACAUGUACACAUGGAUCAUUUGUAUAUUAGAAUUAUAGCAUUGUUUAAUUCAACUCAUUCUUAUCAUAGAGAGGUUAUUAUAUACUGCAGGCAACGACUUGUAAAGGGUAUACUGUUUUAACUCACAUGCAAGGCAGUAUUAUGAAACUCUGUAGUUGAUAAGGACAUAUAUCACAUAUCGAUAUGCAUAUUUACAGGAAACUCUGAUGUAUUUUAAAUCUGAACGUUAAUUUAAAAGUGGGGAGAAAUAGCAUUGGAUGAAAAAAGACACAUAUGAAGAAAAUUAUUCCAUACGUAAAUACUUUUUAGCUCACCUGAGCUGAAAGCUCAAGUGAGCUUUUCUGAUCGCCUGUUGUUCAUUGUCUGUCCGUGCAUGAUUAAACAUUUUAUAUUUUCUCCAGAAGCACUGGGCCAAUAAUAACCAAACUUAACAAAAAGUAUCCUUGGGUAAAGGGCUUUCGAGUUUGUUCAAAUGAAGGGCCAUGCCCUCUUCAAAGGGGAGAUGACCACAAAAAUAGGGUGGGUCAUUUAAUUUUUUUUAUCAAGAACCAUUGGGCCAGAAGAGCUGAAAUGUACAUGAAAGCUUCCUGACAUAGUACAGAUUCAAGUUUAUUGAAAUCAUGGCCUCCUGGGGUUGUAUGGGGCCACAAUAGAGAAUCAAAGUUUUACAUACAAUUAUUCAGGAAAACUCUUUCAAUAUGAGCCAAGGUGGCUCAGGUGAGCGAUGUGGCCCAUGGGCCUCUUGUUCAACAUAUAGAAUAAAUAGUUAUGUUGUAUUUCCCAUGGAACAUUGAAACGUUGAAUGCGUUUACCAAUUAAUCACUGAAAGAAAGAUAAAAUUGUUGUUUCAUAUGUUUUAUGAAAACUUAAAGAUGUUUCAUUUCUUUUCAUGAAAGACCCCUUAAUUACCCAGUAAUAUAUAAUCAAUUCUUAACAGAUUAUGUAAAUUUGAUUUAUAUUAAGGAUGUUUGAUCUGAUUACCCAUCAUUAUCAAUCUGUCUAAUAUGGCCAUCAUGUGUUACUAUUGCUACGCAAUCUUGGAGCAUGAGGUAGAAUGCGAGCCAGCUCUUUCAUAAGUACAUGUAUCUGGAAAAUAUUUCAAUGUCAAAGGUUACAACAAUGUGAUAAUUUAAUCAUUGUAUGUCUAAGGUGUUGAUAAUAAAACUGUUAUCUGUUCAA